UAGGGAAUAUUGGGCAAUGGGCGAAAGCCUGACCCAGCAACGCCGCGUGUGUGAUGAAGGCCUUCGGGUCGUAAAGCACUUUUCUGGGAGAUGAGAAAGGACAGUAUCCCAGGAAUAAGUCUCGGCUAACUACGUGCCAGCAGCCGCGGUAAAACGUAGGAGGCGAGCGUUAUCCGGAUUCACUGGGCGUAAAGCGCGUGCAGGUGGCGCGGUAAGUUGGGCGUGAAAUCUCCCGGCUCAACUGGGAGAGAUCGUCCAAUACUACCGUGCUUGAGAGCAGAAGAGGAAGAUGGAAUUCCCGGUGUAGUGGUGAAAUGCGUAGAUAUCGGGAGGAACACCAGUGGCGAAGGCGAUCUUCUGGUCUGUUUCUGACACUCAGACGCGACAGCUAGGGUAGUAAACGGGAUUAGAGACCCCGGUAAUCCUAGCCGUAAACGAUGUGAACUUGGCGUUGGUGGGUUAAACUCCAUCAGUGCCGCAGCAAACGCGAUAAGUU
rnacentral:rRNA from 1 species